GGCUUUAUUUUAGUUGUUUUGAAAACAAUUUUAAAGAAAUAUUUCUUUAAAGUCC
rnacentral:tRNA from 1 species